CAUCUUCACCGUUUUUAGAUCGAAAAGGUAGCUUUAUGACUCCCAUUGUUCUUAGCUUUAUAUAAACUCCUUUAGAGAAUCUCAUUUACUACCUCUACAAAAUCCUUUCCUCUUCAUGUCAACUAUAAGCUAUUCAAUCGCCCACAAGCACAUGCCUAUAGGGUUUCCAUUUCAAUUAAAGCACAAACGGAACGUUUUCACCCGAGAGAGAACGCAGAACUUGGUGACCCUAUCAAACCUAUCCUUUGUUUCGUCUUCGAAUCGAUCUGAUAUUGUCAUCCAAGUUGUGGAUCUCAAGCCUAUCCAAUCUAUAUAAGUUAGUGAGAAUGAUGGAAAGACGAAAGUUUCAUGCUUGCACUUGCGGAUGACUAAGAUCACAACAAUGACAAGUUAAAAUCUGGAGAGCCGGAGCUGAGAUCCUCUGAUCCUCAAGGUGUGGAUGCGGAGAAGCCUGUUGUUCUUACUGAUGAGCCUUUUAGGGAGGCCUCUCCUGAAAGAUGUUAACCCUGAAGUCGAUGUAUUGGCCACACCUACAGUUACAGAGGAAGUGGUAGCGGAUGGUGAGAAGUCUAAUGUCGAGAAGUGGGGCCAAGAGUUGCAGAAUCGUGAAAACAUCCUUCCGUGGAUAAGGUUCACAUCUAACAAUACCCUUCAAAACUAAAUUUGCUAAGCCCCAAGAUCGAGAUCAUACAUUGGAGUUGUCAAGAACAUGAUCAUCUUCGAUCCUGAGAUAUUGUGCAGCAUGUGAAACCAGAGGAAGGGAACCAAUAUAAUGGUGGUUAUAUUACAGAUGAAUGAACAAAACGGCAUCCUGAUCUCAUGUCUUUACCCUUGGAAGACGAGAAUAAAAUUAUCUCUAGGAUGGAUUACAAAGGCAAGAGAAAUGUAAUCGACCUAUAUGCAGGAGUUCGUAAAAGUAUAAAAGUGUCAAAAUCUGCUUGGCACAUCUAUUUGUGGUUUAAUGUUGUGGAGAGCUUGCAUUCACAAAAACACUAUUCAAAAGAGGAUGAAGACAAAGAGGCUAUGAAGACGAGCACACGACCCUUUUGAAUCCUCACCACUAAAUUGUUCGUUGUUGUUUUCGCUGUCUUAAAUGGAAGAUUUAAAAAAAAAACAUUAUGUCAAAAUAAAGUUAAAAU